CCCGCCUCCCGCCAGUCUGUGUAGAUGAGGAUUAAGUCUGUGUCUCACGUGAAAAGAUGCUCAGCCUCACUCAAUAAAAUACAUGACCACAGGGUGGGGGUCCGGGUUUCACCUGUCAGGCAAGCGACAACCCCCAUGUCUGAAAGCAUCUGUUGGCCACAGGAGUGUAAAUUAGUUCCGGCUCUUAAGAAGGCAGCGCCAGCCUGGUGCUGUUGGCUCCGAUCCACGGCCUGCCUCCCCCUGGGGAGGGACUGGCCCCGCAGGCAGCAUUUCCCAAACCCGUGGGCCACUGGCUUGGGGUGGGCUUGGCCGGUGGGGCCUCAGGUGGGAGGUUGGCAGGAGGAGGGAGAACCCAGGUUCUCUCGCCUCGGUUCUGCCUCAGAGCCCCUCCUUUGCUCGGUCUCCUUUGGCUCCAGCUCGUGCGGCCAGUUGACCGAGGCCCUGAGCUUUGAAAAUACCUCCUCCCUCUGACCCUCCAACUUAGCGGUGGUCAGGGCGUCCAGCUCUUGCUCAUGUGUGCAUUCCUUACCAUUUCCAGUUUCACUCCCAGCUUCUCCGUCAUGCGCGCAACCAGUUCCUUGUAUGACAUUCCCUUAUUUCAGCUGCUCAGAGGAAUUGUGUUUCUGUGGGUGAAUCCCAUCAAUAAAGGGGCAUCGGACAGCAGCUUUUAAAGUGGCAGACAGACGUAUAAAUCCUUUGACCCAGCCAAGCCAGGUCUAGGAAUUUAACCUGCAGGUAUAUGUGUAUGUGUGUGAGAUACCACAGGUACGAGAUGAUUCCCUGCCUUGUUGGUGACAGUAAACGGUGGGAAGUGACUGGAGGGCCCCCCAGGACACUGGCUGGAUAACCCUUCCUGUGCACAGGUGGGGAGCUUGUGGAAAGGAGCCAGAGGCUUCGUAUGGAUUUAUUAGAGUUAGAGAAGCCAAGUGUGGGAAAAUGUCCAGGGUGUGCUACCAUUUCCGUGUGUGUGUGUGUGAAAGAGAGAGGAGAGAGGGGAAGUGCAUGCAAAUUCUCGGGAAGGCUAUACAAGGAACUAAUAACAGGGUUACUUGCUGGGGAGGGUGAUGGGAACUGGGCAGGUGGGAGUGUGGGUGCAGAGGAAACUUCUCGCUCUGUGUUUUAAAUUUUUUUGAAAUAGAAAGAAGUUGAAGUCUGCCUUUACUUUUCCCCAAGUGGGCAAACCGUUUCACGGAGCAGCAGUAACUGUCUUCAUCCAGAUGUCUGGCACCGUGCAGACAGGGCCUGGCCACAGCCUCAGACCCGCUUCCAUGGGAACAUGUCAUGUUCUCCGUUUGUUUUGGACGGCAGUUUCCUUCUUGUGUGGACAGAUACAUAUGAAACACAUGCUCUCCGCGUGGAGUUUGUGGUCCUCUGAGAAUUCUCUGGAGGAGGAAAUGGGUUGACCUAUUUGGUUGCUAUGAAGUAAAAACAAUCUUGUUUUCAUUUUUCAGUGAACAUCUGGGUUGCAUUUAUUAUUUUACAUUCUAGAGGUUCUUUUUAAAGCCACAAUUUGAUAAUGUGAGGGUUCAUUAAAGCAGUAACUAGCUGUUUCUGUAAUUAAAUUAAGUGCUAGGGUGGCUGGUAGUUUUAAAAA